AUUGAACGCUGGCGGCAUGCCUUACACAUGCAAGUCGAACGGUAACAGGUCUUCGGAUGCUGACGAGUGGCGAACGGGUGAGUAAUACAUCGGAACGUGCCCGAGAGUGGGGGAUAACGAGGCGAAAGCUUUGCUAAUACCGCAUACGAUCUCAGGAUGAAAGCAGGGGACCGCAAGGCCUUGCGCUCACGGAGCGGCCGAUGGCAGAUUAGGUAGUUGGUGGGAUAAAAGCUUACCAAGCCGACGAUCUGUAGCUGGUCUGAGAGGACGACCAGCAACACUGGGACUGAGACACGGCCCAGACUCCUACGGGAGGCAGCAGUGGGGAACUUUGGACAAUGGGCGCAAGCCUGAUCCAGCCAUGCCGCGUGCAGGAUGAAGGCCUUCGGGUUGUAAACUGCUUUUGUACGGAACGAAAAGACUCUGGUUAAUACCUGGGGUCCAUGACGGUACCGUAAGAAUAAGCACCGGCUAACUCUGUGCCAGCCGCCGCGGUAAGAC
rnacentral:rRNA from 1 species